rnacentral:rRNA from 1 species
CUGGUGGCGANUGGCGAACGGGUGAGUAAUACAUCGGAACGUGUCCUGUANUGGGGGAUAGCCCGGCGAAAGCCGGAUUAAUACCGCAUACGCUCUACGGAGGAAAGGGGGGGAUCUUAGGACCUCCCGCUACAGGGGCGGCCGAUGGCAGAUUAGCUAGUUGGUGGGGUAAAGGCCUACCAAGGCGACGAUCUGUAGCUGGUCUGANAGGACGACCAGCCACACUGGGACUGAGACACGGCCCAGACUCCUACGGGAGGCAGCAGUGGGGAAUUUUGGACAAUGGGGGAAACCCUGAUCCAGCAAUGCCGCGUGUGUGAAGAAGGCCUUCGGGUUGUAAAGCACUUUUGUCCGGAAAGAAAACCUCUGGGUUAAUACCCCGGGGGGAUGACGGUACCGGAAGAAUAANCACCGGCUAACUACGUGCCAGCAGCCGCGGUAAUACNUAGGGUGCAAGCGUUAAUCGGAAUUACUGGGCGUAAAGCGUGCGCAGGCGGUCCGCUAANACANAUGUGAAAUCCCCGGGCUUAACCUGGGAACUGCAUUUGUGACUGGCGGGCUANAGUAUGGCAGAGGGGGGUAGAAUUCCACGUGUANCANUGAAAUGCGUANAGAUGUGGAGGAAUACCGAUGGCGAANGCNGCCCCCUGGGCCAAUACUGAC